GACGAACGCUGGCGGCGUGCCUAAUACAUGCAAGUCGAGCGAAGUUUUUCUGGUGCUUGCACUAGAAAAACUUAGCGGCGAACGGGUGAGUAACACGUAAAGAACCUGCCUCAUAGACUGGGACAACUAUUGGAAACGAUAGCUAAUACCGGAUAACAGUAUUUCUCGCAUGAGAGAUAUUUAAAAGUUGGUUAUGCUAACACUAUGAGAUGGCUUUGCGGUGCAUUAGUUAGUUGGCGGGGUAAAGGCCCACCAAGGCGACGAUGCAUAGCCGACCUGAGAGGGUGAUCGGCCACACUGGGACUGAGACACGGCCCAGACUCCUACGGGAGGCAGCAGUAGGGAAUCUUCCGCAAUGGGCGAAAGCCUGACGGAGCAACGCCGCGUGAGUGAAGAAGGAUUUCGGUUCGUAAAGCUCUGUUGUUAGGGAAGAAUGGAUAUGUAGUAACUAUACAUGUAAGAGACGGUACCUAACCAGAAAGCCACGGCUAACUACGUG
rnacentral:rRNA from 1 species